rnacentral:rRNA from 1 species
AUUGAACGCUGGCGGCAUGCCUUACACAUGCAAGUCGAACGGCAGCACGGGAGCUUGCUCCUGGUGGCGAGUGGCGAACGGGUGAGUAAUAUAUCGGAACGUACCCUAGAGUGGGGAUAACGCAGCGAAAGUUGCGCUAAUACCGCAUACGAUCUACGGAUGAAAGUGGGGGAUCGCAAGACCUCAUGCUCAUGGAGCGGCCGAUAUCUGAUUAGCUAGUUGGUGGGUAAAGGCCUACCAAGGCUUCGAUCAGUAGCUGGUCUGAGAGGACGACCAGCCACACUGGAACUGAGACACGGUCCAGACUCCUACGGGAGGCAGCAGUGGGGAAUUUUGGACAAUGGGCGAAAGCCUGAUCCAGCAAUGCCGCGUGAGUGAAGAAGGCCUUCGGUGUAAG